GCCCCGGUAGCUCAAUUGGUAGAGCAGCGGCCUUUUAAGCCGUUGGUUGUGGGUUCGAGUCCCACCCGAGGCA
rnacentral:tRNA from 1 species